rnacentral:rRNA from 1 species
CCUACGGGAGGCAGCAGUGAGGAAUAUUGGUCAAUGGACGAGAGUCUGAACCAGCCAAGUAGCGUGAAGGAUGACUGCCCUAUGGGUUGUAAACUUCUUUUAUAUGGGAAUAAAAUGUUCCACGUGUGGGAUUUUGUAUGUACCAUAUGAAUAAGGAUCGGCUAACUCCGUGCCAGCAGCCGCGGUAAUACGGAGGAACCGAGCGUUAACCGGAUUUAUUGGGUUUAAAGGGAGCGUAGGUGGAUUGUUAAGUCAGUUGUGAAAGUUUGCGGCUAAACCGUAAAAUUGCAGUUGAAACUGGCAGUCUUGAGUACAGUAGAGGUGGGCGGAAUUCGUGGUGUAGCGGUGAAAUGCUUAGAUAUCACGAAGAACUCCGAUUGCGAAGGCAGUUCACUGGACUGCAACUGACACUGAGGCUCGAAAGUGUGGGUAUCAAACAGGAUUAGAUACCCCAGUAGUC